GGGGAUGUAUUUCAGUGGUAGAAAGUCUGCUUCGCAUGCAGAAGGUCAUGGGUUCGAAUCCCAUCAUCUCCA